rnacentral:rRNA from 1 species
CACGUAGGGUGCGAGCGUUGUCCGGAAUUAUUGGGCGUAAAGAGCUCGUAGGCGGUGUGUCGCGUCGGCCGUGAAAACCUGCAGCUUAACUGUGGGCUUGCGGUCGAUACGGGCAUCACUGGAGUUCGGCAGGGGAGACUGGAAUUCCUGGUGUAGCGGUGGAAUGCGUAGAUAUCUGGAAGAACACCGGUGGCGAAGGCGGUGGUCUGGGCCGAAACUGACGCUGAGGAGCGAAAGCCAGGGGAGCAAACGGG